rnacentral:sRNA from 1 species
ACACGAGAAGGGAGGUGGUUCGGCAGAUGUAUGCAGACCGGACGCGUGAGGUGACUGCGGGCUAGCGCCCGUCACCACACCGAGUGCGGUGCCGGACCGGCACGUGACAGACGCGUGCAGCCGGCCCAAUCCCAGCAGUCACCCGACCCGCGAACUCGCCGGUACGUCCGGCCGGCUCCCCCGCCGCACGGCGGAGGAACCCGAGUUCGCGGGUCGUCUGCG